AGAGUUUGAUCCUGGCUCAGGACGAACGCUGGCGGCGUGCCUAAUACAUGCAAGUAGAACGCUGAAGAAAGGAGCUUGCUUCUUUUGGAUGAGUUGCGAACGGGUGAGUAACGCGUAGGUAACCUGCCUUGUAGCGGGGGAUAACUAUUGGAAACGAUAGCUAAUACCGCAUAACAGCUUUUGACACAUGUUAGAAGCUUGAAAGAUGCAAUUGCAUCACUACGAGAUGGACCUGCGUUGUAUUAGCUAGUAGGUAGGGUAACGGCCUACCUAGGCGACGAUACAUAGCCGACCUGAGAGGGUGAUCGGCCACACUGGGACUGAGACACGGCCCAGACUCCUACGGGAGGCAGCAGUAGGGAACCUUCGGCAAUGGGGGCAACCCUGACCGAGCAACGCCGCGUGAGUGAAGAAGGUUUUCGGAUCGUAAAGCUCUGUUGUAAGAGAAGAACGUGUGUGAGAGUGGAAAGUUCACACAGUGACGGUAACUUACCAGAAAGGGACGGCUAACUACGUGCCAGCAGCCGCGGUAAUACGUAGGUCCCGAGCGUUGUCCGGAUUUAUUGGGCGUAAAGCGAGCGCAGGCGGUUUAAUAAGUCUGAAGUUAAAGGCAGUGGCUUAACCAUUGUUCGCUUUGGAAACUGUUAAACUUGAGUGCAGAAGGGGAGAGUGGAAUUCCAUGUGUAGCGGUGAAAUGCGUAGAUAUAUGGAGGAACACCGGUGGCGAAAGCGGCUCUCUGGUCUGUAACUGACGCUGAGGCUCGAAAGCGUGGGGAGCAAACAGGAUUAGAUACCCUGGUAGUCCACGCCGUAAACGAUGAGUGCUAGGUGUUAGGCCCUUUCCGGGGCUUAGUGCCGCAGCUAACGCAUUAAGCACUCCGCCUGGGGAGUACGACCGCAGGUUGAAACUCAAAGGAAUUGACGG
rnacentral:rRNA from 1 species